rnacentral:antisense_RNA from 1 species
GAGACUCCCGAGACUCCCCCAAGUCAGGGCUUUUCGCUGGUCUCGCAGCCCCAGCCCAGCAGCUGCUGCAGCCUUGCAGGUUGUGGAUGCAGGCAUUUUGCUGAGGAAACUGCAUAGCGUUUCCAGGACUCUAGGGCCUACGACCCCUCAAAAGUUAAGAGCCGCUGAUCUAAUCUAACCCCACUUUCACCGUCAGUUAACAAAAGAGGAAAACUGAGGCCUGAGAGGGUGUGACUUGCCUGAACUCCCUAACCUGGUGAAUGAUGGGUGGAACCAGCUCCUGGCUUUCUGCGCAGGUGUCCAGGGACAGAGAACGGUGGUUUAAACUAGGGAGGUGGCAGGCAGAAGUAGAUGGAUCACCUGAGGUCAGGAGUUCACGACCAGCCUGGCCAAUAUGGUGAAACCCCGUCUCUACUAAAAAUACAAAAAAAAAAAAAAAAAAAAUAGCCGGGCAUGGUGGGUGGCAGGCGUUUGUAAUC